rnacentral:lncRNA from 1 species
AUUGUUUAUCCUUUAUUUUUGUAUCUUUAUCUUUCUGAAUGAAAUGAAGUUUCUUUUUUAGUUAUCCUUUGUCUUUAUUUAUUUUUAAUCUUUUUUAUUGAUGACAAAGGGGGAGAAGAGUGGACACCAUUUUUAAUAUACUUAUUUCCUUUUUGAAUCUCAAACAUUUGACUCUGAUUCUUCUUACUUUUCGUGAACAUUGCAUACAUUGAAAUAUUUG